GAUGAACGCUGGCGGCGUGCCUAAUACAUGCAAGUCGAGCGAACGGACGAGAAGCUUGCUUCUCUGAUGUUAGCGGCGGACGGGUGAGUAACACGUGGAUAACCUACCUAUAAGACUGAGAUAACUUCGGGAAACCGGAGCUAAUACCGGAUGAUAUUUUGAACCGCAUGGUUCAAAAGUGAAAGACGGUCUUGCUGUCACUUAUAGAUGGAUCCGCGCUGCAUUAGCUAGUUGGUAAGGUAACGGCUUACCAAGGCAACGAUGCAUAGCCGACCUGAGAGGGUGAUCGGCCACACUGGAACUGAGACACGGUCCAGACUCCUACGGGAGGCAGCAGUAGGGAAUCUUCCGCAAUGGGCGAAAGCCUGACGGAGCACGCCGCGUGAGUGAUGAAGGUCUUCGGAUCGUAAAACUCUGUUAUUAGGGAAGAACAUAUGUGUAAGUAACUGUGCACAUCUUGACGGUACCUAAUCAGAAAGCCACGGCUAACUACGUG
rnacentral:rRNA from 1 species